CCUACGGGAGGCAGCAGUGGGGGAUAUUGCACAAUGGGGGGAACCCUGAUGCAGCGACGCCGCGUGGGUGAAGGAGUGCUUCGGCAUGUAAAGCCCUAUCGGCAGGGAAGAAGCAAGACGGUACCUGACUAAGAAGCCCCGGCUAACUACGUGCCAGCAGCCGCGGUAAUACGUAGGGGGCGAGCGUUAUCCGGAUUGACUGGGUGUAAAGGGAGCGUAGACGGCCAUGCAAGCCAGGGGUGAAAGCCCGGGGCCCAACCCCGGGACUGCCCUUGGAACUGGGCGGAUAGAGUGCGUGAGGGGCAGGCGGAAUUCCAGGUGUAGCGGUGAAAUGCGUAGAUAUCAGGAGGAACACCGGCGGCGAAGGCGGCCUGCUGGACCGCGACUGACGUUGAGGCUCGAAAGCGUGGGGAGCGAACAGGAUUAGAUACCCUAGUAGUC
rnacentral:rRNA from 1 species